rnacentral:rRNA from 1 species
UGGGGAAUCUUCCGCAAUGGACGAAAGUCUGACGGAGCAACGCCGCGUGAGUGAUGACGGCCUUCGGGUUGUAAAGCUCUGUUAAUCGGGACGAAUGGUUCUUGUGCGAAUAGUGCAAGGAUUUGACGGUACCGGAAUAGAAAGCCACGGCUAACUACGUGCCAGCAGCCGCGGUAAUACGUAGGUGGCAAGCGUUGUCCGGAAUUAUUGGGCGUAAAGCGCGCGCAGUCGGAUUGGUCAGUCUGUCUUAAAAGUUCGGGGCUUAACCCCGUGAUGGGAUGGAAACUGCCAAUCUAGAGUAUCGGAGAGGAAAGUGGAAUUCCUAGUGUAGCGGUGAAAUGCGUAGAUAUUAGGAAGAACACCAGUGGCGAAGGCGACUUUCUGGACGAAAACUGACGCUGAGGCGCGAAAGCCAGGGGAGCGAACGGG